CCUACGGGAGGCAGCAGUGGGGGAUAUUGCACAAUGGGGGGAACCCUGAUGCAGCGACGCCGCGUGGGUGAAGAAGCGCCUCGGCGCGUAAAGCCCUGUCAGCAGGGAAGAAAAUGACGGUACCUGAAGAAGAAGCCCCGGCUAACUACGUGCCAGCAGCCGCGGUAAUACGUAGGGGGCAAGCGUUAUCCGGAUUUACUGGGUGUAACGGGGGCGCAGACGGCGAUGCAAGCCAGGAGUGAAAGCCCGGGGCCCAACCCCGGGACUGCUCUUGGAACUGCGUGGCUGGAGUGCAGGAGGGGAAGGCGGAAUUCCUGGUGUAGCGGUGAAAUGCGUAGAUAGCAGGAGGAACACCGGUGGCGAAGGCGGCCUGCUGGACUGCAACUGACGUUGAGGCCCGAAAGCGUGGGGAGCAAACAGGAUUAGAUACCCCAGUAGUC
rnacentral:rRNA from 1 species